UACGUAGGGUGCAAGCGUUGUCCGGAAUUAUUGGGCGUAAAGAGCUCGUAGGCGGUUUGUCGCGUCGAAUGUGAAAACCCGGGGCUCAACCCCGGGCCUGCAUUCGAUACGGGCAGACUAGAGUUCGGUAGGGGAGUCUGGAAUUCCUGGUGUAGCGGUGAAAUGCGCAGAUAUCAGGAGGAACACCCGUGGCGAAAGCGGCUCUCUGGGACGGUACUGACGCUGAGACGCGAAAGCGUGGGGAGCAAACAGG
rnacentral:rRNA from 1 species